UAGUGUAGAGGUUAUCACGUCGGCUUCACACGCUGAAGGUCCUCAGUUCGAUCCUGAG
rfam:Daphnia pulex DAPPTscaffold_3297_Cont14803, whole genome shotgun sequence.